AACGAACGCUGGCGGCGUGCUUAACACAUGCAAGUCGAACGAGAAAGCUUCCUUCGGGAAGUAAGUAGAGUGGCGCACGGGUGAGUAACGCGUAGGUAAUCUACCCUUAUACCUGGGAUAACAUUGGGAAACUGGUGCUAAUACCGGAUACACUUCUUCACUUUGGGGUAAAGGAGGAAAGGUGGCCUCUUCAUGAAAGCUACCGUAUAGGGAUGAGCCUGCGUACCAUUAGCUAGUAGGUAGGGUAACGGCCUACCUAGGCGACGAUGGUUAGCGGGUCUGAGAGGAUGAUCCGCCACACUGGAACUGGAACACGGACCAGACUCCUACGGGAGGCAGCAGUGAGGAAUAUUGCGCAAUGGGGGAAACCCUGACGCAGCGACGCCGCGUGAGUGAGGAAGGUUUUCGGAUCGUAAAGCUCUGUCAGAAGGGAAGAAGUGUUAUGUGGUUAAUACCCGUAUAAUUUGACGGUACCUUCAGAGGAAGCACCGGCUAACUCUGUG
rnacentral:rRNA from 1 species